UGUCCGUGACGCAACGGUGGUGAAACUUAACACAUUCAUCACAUACGUCUGACAUGCAUGAUCCUGGAACUUAAAACGUCGCUAAUACGGAACAAGACGUAGUAAGGCACAAAUUACCGUAGCCACCAAAGGAAUCGCUCCUGGGUCUCGGGCGAGGAGAUGGUUGACAGAAUGUGCCGCUUAAGGAGUUGUGGAACAACAAUUUCCCAUCUACAAAUCUAUACCAGGGACAAGCAAUGCUAACUCGAGGAAGAGGAAACUUGGUUGAAUGAGGCCUAUAACACAGGCAGAUACUGUCAACUAAGUUCUAGGUAUGUAAUGAUCAUGUUGGUGAUCAACUUGAUACUGUUAUUUUUGUUGCUCCUGCUAUCUAGCUACUUUGGGUGUCCUGUAAACAAAAGGGGGUGAGCAGAACUGUUCCAAGGUUACUGUUGGGGCGCCAUCUGAUGGUAGAGGGUAUUCCGCUACAGAUUAUGAAGCCCUUAUAAGCAAUGAAGAACUACUGACUAAUUUAACAUUAUUUAUAUGAAUUAAUAGAUAAAUCAAUUUUUAGGG
rnacentral:sRNA from 2 species